GAAUGCUGACAUAAGUAACGAUAAAGCGGGUGAAAAGCCCGCUCGCCGGAAGACCAAGGGUUCCUGUCCAACGUUAAUCGGGGCAGGGUGAGUCGACCCCUAAGGCGAGGCCGAAAGGCGUAGUCGAUGGGAAACAGGUUAAUAUUCCUGUACUUGGUGUUACUGCGAAGGGGGGACGGAGAAGGCUAUGUUGGCCGGGCGACGGUUGUCCCGGUUUAAGCGUGUAGGCUGAUUUUCCAGGCAAAUCCGGAAAAUCAAGGCUGAGGCGUGAUGACGAGGCACUACGGUGCUGAAGCAACAAAUGCCCUGCUUCCAGGAAAAGCCUCUAAGCAUCAGGUAACAUCAAAUCGUACCCCAAACCGACACAGGUGGUCAGGUAGAGAAUACCAAGGCGCUUGAGAGAACUCGGGUGAAGGAACUAGGCAAAAUGGUGCCGUAACUUCGGGAGAAGGCACGCUGAUAUGUAGGUGAAGCGACUUGCUCGUGGAGCUGAAAUCAGUCGAAGAUACCAGCUGGCUGCAACUGUUUAUUAAAAACACAGCACUGUGCAAACACGAAAGUGGACGUAUACGGUGUGACGCCUGCCCGGUGCCGGAAGGUUAAUUGAUGGGGUUAGCGGUAACGCGAAGCUCUUGAUCGAAGCCCCGGUAAACGGCGGCCGUAACUAUAACGGUCCUAAGGUAGCGAAAUUCCUUGUCGGGUAAGUUCCGACCUGCACGAAUGGCGUAAUGAUGGCCAGGCUGUCUCCACCCGAGACUCAGUGAAAUUGAACUCGCUGUGAAGAUGCAGUGUACCCGCGGCAAGACGGAAAGACCCCGUGAACCUUUACUAUAGCUUGACACUGAACAUUGAGCCUUGAUGUGUAGGAUAGGUGGGAGGCUUUGAAGUGUGGACGCCAGUCUGCAUGGAGCCGACCUUGAAAUACCACCCUUUAAUGUUUGAUGUUCUAACGUUGGCCCGUUAUCCGGGUUGCGGACAGUGUCUGGUGGGUAGUUUGACUGGGGCGGUCUCCUCCUAAAGAGUAACGGAGGAGCACGAAGGUUGGCUAAUCCUGGUCGGACAUCAGGAGGUUAGUGCAAUGGCAUAAGCCAGCUUGACUGCGAGCGUGACGGCGCGAGCAGGUGCGAAAGCAGGUCAUAGUGAUCCGGUGGUUCUGAAUGGAAGGGCCAUCGCUCAACGGAUAAAAGGUACUCCGGGGAUAACAGGCUGAUACCGCCCAAGAGUUCAUAUCGACGGCGGUGUUUGGCACCUCGAUGUCGGCUCAUCACAUCCUGGGGCUGAAGUAGGUCCCAAGGGUAUGGCUGUUCGCCAUUUAAAGUGGUACGCGAGCUGGGUUUAGAACGUCGUGAGACAGUUCGGUCCCUAUCUGCCGUGGGCGCUGGAGAACUGAGGGGGGCUGCUCCUAGUACGAGAGGACCGGAGUGGACGCAUCACUGGUGUUCGGGUUGUCAUGCCAAUGGCACU
rnacentral:rRNA from 1 species